AUUGUCACAUUGAACCACUAAAUCAUGUCUACUAAUUGUAAGAGGUAGUUAUUACAUUACCUGCAAGUGUCGGUGAAUACCUAGUAGGUAAAUCAGGAAUAUUUUAUUUGGUUGAAGAAGAUUGUCAGGUUUUUUUUUUAGUGAGAGCACUAUUUAAAUACGUUCAAAACUAUUUUGAUCGUAUUUUAUGACCAUAUUUAAAGAGAAUACUUUCAAAAUAUGUUCACAAAUUUUCCAGUAAUAUUUUAACACUGUUUUGCUCAAAUAUUUGACAAAAUAAUCUUAAAUAUGACUAUGAUAAAAGGUAUUGUCAAAAAUAUUUCAGCAAAUUGUUUAAGAAUCUUGUUAAAAAUUGUUGUAAAUAAUUAAGAAUAUAGCAUCAGAUCAACCUCAAAAUAUUUUGAAUAUAUUUUCGUCCAAUUUUAUACGCUAUUUUGAUCUUUUCUGAUUAAUAUUUUUAGUUUUGCCAUGGACUAUUUGCCGGCGGCACGCCAAAAAUCAUUGGCAAAAUUGCUCUAAAUCUCAGUCUUGGUUACUAGGAAAGCUUUGAUUAAAUACAAAAUGCAUUCAUUCACAUCCUUCUUACAUUUCUUGUUCUAUUACAAACCUAGACGGAAUGCAGUUCCUCGUUCAUUUUUGGAAUUUAUCUCAUUCCUUCAUCUCAUAUCAGUAAAAAGAAAGCAUAACUGCCUGAUAUGCCCUUGAUAUCCCGCCUGAUGAUUGACCCACCACCCUCUUUGGUGAUGUCAUAUUUUGUAUAAAAGGUUGGAUCUUAUCUGUCUCUUGGUCUUCUCCCAUCUUCAACCCGCAGUUUCCAUGUCAGGUGUCUCAGUAUCUCACCCCUGAGAGUUCUUUAGCUGUACUUUAUAUCAUAAACUUACGAGUGGUGUGGAAUUAUUUUAAAAAGUGUUAUUUUUCAAUUAGAAAAACGAUAAAAACUGCAGAAGUCUUGGGUUUCAGAAGUAAAACGUGUUUGACGGAUGAUUCAAUCAGUGUCUGAAGGAAACACAUUUUGAAGAAAAGGAAAGGAGCAAAUCCUGAUCGUCUAGAAGAGAAAAGGGUAUGAGUCAAAAUUGGAAUUUAGGGAAUUUCGUGCAGUGAUAAUUGAAUCUUAUUGCAAUGGAAAAGGGAGUGUUCAGCAGAAAGGAUGGAGUCACAGCCUAAUCGAUAGAGGGGUCCUGAGGAUAAUUUGAACAUAUGAAGACUCUUGACUGGUCAUUAUUCGGAGACUGGCUGCUCGGAUCACAGAAUAGGCAAGAGCACCGGAUAAUUUGCGGAGUGGACAAGGCAAGUGAUCUGUUCACGGACUGGGCAAAAAGUUGCCCAACACGGAGAAAAAAAGAACCGCGCUGAGUAGCAGAAGAUGGACUUCAUCACAUGGGACGGAUGAUGAUUUUGCUUUAACAUUCCAUUCCGCACUUGGGCACAGCCGGCGCUUGUCCUUAGCACAUUCCUCCUGAGCUUUCGCACAAACUGCCUCUGCUAGGCGACAUGUUUUCCUGCAGUCCACCACAUCCGGCGGAUAUUCAAGCAAAGUUGGUGCUGAGCACCGUUCUUCUUUUCUCCGUGAAUCUUUGGACUACAUAUAAUAAAUAGUAAAUAAUUAAAUUAUAAUUAUAAUAACUUAUAAUUAAAUUUAGCAGUUUAAGUUUUUAUAAAGAAGUUUCAACCUACAAUUAAAUUUACAAUUUAACCCUUUUAUCAGGCACUUUAUUUAUUAAGAUUUUAUCAGACGAUUCUAAAAUUGCAUUCUAGUGUUAUUUAUUAUUUAAUUAUAAUAUUGUUACAUAUCUUCCAAAGGAAAUGCACUCUAUUAUUUUUAAUUAUUCUUUUGAUGAUAAUCUGAUUAGUUAACUUGACAGUGUACACACUUUAGGAAAUUUUAAAUUCUGAAUAUGAUGUUUAGUAGCUCAAAAUGUCAGUUUAUAACGAUGACCUACGUCUAAAAAAGCGUUUAUCCGCUUGUGCCAUUGUA